ACACACGGCGGGUGCUAACGUCCGUCGUGAAGAGGGAAACAACCCAGACCGCCAGCUAAGGUCCCAAAGUCAUGGUUAAGUGGGAAACGAUGUGGGAAGGCCCAGACAGCCAGGAUGUUGGCUUAGAAGCAGCCAUCAUUUAAAGAAAGCGUAAUAGCUCACUGGUCGAGUCGGCCUGCGCGGAAGAUGUAACGGGGCUAAACCAUGCACCGAAGCUGCGGCAGCGACGCUUAUGCGUUGUUGGGUAGGGGAGCGUUCUGUAAGCCUGUGAAGGUGUGCUGUGAGGCAUGCUGGAGGUAUCAGAAGUGCGAAUGCUGACAUAAGUAACGAUAAAGCGGGUGAAAAGCCCGCUCGCCGGAAGACCAAGGGUUCCUGUCCAACGUUAAUCGGGGCAGGGUGAGUCGACCCCUAAGGCGAGGCCGAAAGGCGUAGUCGAUGGGAAACAGGUUAAUAUUCCUGUACUUGGUGUUACUGCGAAGGGGGGACGGAGAAGGCUAUGUUGGCCGGGCGACGGUUGUCCCGGUUUAAGCGUGUAGGCUGGUUUUCCAGGCAAAUCCGGAAAAUCAAGGCUGAGGCGUGAUGACGAGGCACUACGGUGCUGAAGCAACAAAUGCCCUGCUUCCAGGAAAAGCCUCUAAGCAUCAGGUAACAUCAAAUCGUACCCCAAACCGACACAGGUGGUCAGGUAGAGAAUACCAAGGCGCUUGAGAGAACUCGGGUGAAGGAACUAGGCAAAAUGGUGCCGUAACUUCGGGAGAAGGCACGC
rnacentral:rRNA from 1 species